AAAACUUUCAACAACGGAUCUCUUGGUUCUCGCAUCGAUGAAGAACGUAGCGAAUUACGAUAAGUUGUAUGAGUUGCAGACGUGAAUCAUUAAUUUUUGAACGCACAUUGCACUUGAUCUAGCAUCAAGUAUAGGGGAGUGAGAGAGUUUUUCUUCGGAA
rnacentral:rRNA from 1 species